rnacentral:rRNA from 1 species
UACGGGGCGCAGCAGGCGCGAAAACUGUACAAUGCGCGAAAGCGCGAUACGGGGAGCCUGAGUGCCUUAACAUUUGUUAAGGCUUUUCACAAGCCUAAAAAGCUUGUGGAAUAAGAACUGGGUAAGACGGGUGCCAGCCGCCGCGGUAACACCCGCGGUUCGAGUGGUAGUCACUUUUAUUGAGCCUAAAGCGUUCGUAGCCGGAUUCGUAAAUCUCUAGGAAAAUCCUUCUGCCCAACAGAAGAAAUUCUGGAGAGACUGCGAAUCUAGGGACCGGGUGAGGUUGAAUGUACUUCUGGGGUAGGGGUAAAAUCCUGUAAUCCUGGAAGGACGACCGGUGGCGAAGGCGUUCAACUAGAACGGAUCCGACGGUGAGGAACGAAGGCUAGGGGAGCAAACCGGAUUAGAUACCCGGGUAGUCCUAGCUGUAAACACUGCCCACUUGGUGUUGCUUCUUCUAUAGGGGGGAGCAGUGCCGGAGCGAAGGUGUUAAGUGGGCCGCUUGGGGAGUAUGGUCGCAAGGCUGAAACUUAAAGGAAUUGGCGGGGGAGCAC